rnacentral:rRNA from 1 species
CGGUGAACACGGAGCUUGCUCUGUGGGAUCAGUGGCGAACGGGUGAGUAACACGUGAGCAACCUACCCCUGACUCUGGGAUAAGCGCUGGAAACGGCGUCUAAUACUGGAUACGAGUGGCGACCGCAUGGUCAGCUACUGGAAAGAUUUAUUGGUUGGGGAUGGGCUCGCGGCCUAUCAGCUUGUUGGUGAGGUAAUGGCUCACCAAGGCGUCGACGGGUAGCCGGCCUGAGAGGGUGACCGGCCACACUGGGACUGAGACACGGCCCAGACUCCUACGGGAGGCAGCAGUGGGGAAUAUUGCACAAUGGGCGCAAGCCUGAUGCAGCAACGCCGCGUGAGGGAUGACGGCCUUCGGGUUGUAAACCUCUUUUAGCAGGGAAGAAGCGAAAGUGACGGUACCUGCAGAAAAAGCGCCGGCUAACUACGUGCCAGCAGCCGCGGUAAUACGUAGGGCGCAAGCGUUAUCCGGAAUUAUUGGGCGUAAAGAGCUCGUAGGCGGUUUGUCGCGUCUGCUGUGAAAUCCGGAGGCUCAACCUCCGGCCUGCAGUGGGUACGGGCAGACUAGAGUGCGGUAGGGGAGAUUGGAAUUCCUGGUGUAGCGGUGGAAUGCGCANAUAUCAGGAGGAACACCGAUGGCGAAGGCAGAUCUCUGGGCCGUAACUGACGCUGAGGAGCGAAAGGGUGGGGAGCAAACAGGCUUAGAUACCCU